CUGAUGCAUGCACUCCGCCUGCUUGAUGACGACCUUCGGGUUGUAAACCCCGUUCACCAGGGACGAAGCGCAAGUGAUGGUACCUGCUAAAAAAGCACCGGCUAACUACGUGCCAGCAGCCGCGGUAAUACCUAGGGUGCAAACGUUUUCCGGAAUUACUGGGCGUAAAGAGUUCGUAAGCUGGUUGAUCCGUCCUUUGUGAAAAUCAUCAGGUCAACUGCUGGCUUGCCUUCGAUACCGGCUUACUUUAAUGCUGGUAGGGAAACAGGAAUUUCUGGUUGAACCGUGAAAUGCCCAAAUAUCAAGAAGAACACCCGUGGCGAAAGCCGGUCUCUGGGGCGUUUCUGACGCCUAAGAACGAAAGCCUGGGUGACCAACAAGAUUAAAUACCCUGGUAAUCCACCCCGUAAACCGUGGGCGCUAAGUGUGGGGUCCUUCUCCGGAGUCCCUGCCGCAUCUA
rnacentral:rRNA from 1 species